CUAUUGCCUAAUAAAUUAAAAUUACACUUUUGGGGCACUAUUUACAGGCCCCCUUUGCAAUUUAGUAGAGCAUCCUGAAGGGAUGAAUGGCAGCUGGGAUUCGCCAAUUUUGGGGCUGGAAUGUGAUUACAUGAACUGGGAGAUAACUGGGACUGGGAUCUAGCCAUUAUGAAUGAAUAACAAAGUCUCCAAAAUGGAACUAGGUUUCAGUUUCUCCUCUAAUUAAAUUUAUAAUUUAAAAUUUAAAAUAGGAGUCGAAAUGCAAAGUUUAAUAUUCUCAGUCAUUAAAUCAGUUGCAUAUAGCUGAAAUUAUAGGUCAGUCCCCUUAUUUCCAUUUCCCGCUAGUCUUUUGGUAAGCAGCCUUAUGUGACUUUUUAAUACUGGGAUUUUGCAGCUAUUUUGCAGUCGAUUUUGUAGAAUUUUGGGCUGGGAAAUGGGAUUAGGACCCCACCCUGCUUCGUACCUACCUCGUUUGUUUUACUGUUUUGGUAACCCUGUGCCAUACUCGUCUACUCCACCACAGGGCGCCCGCCACCCUGUGAAACAAAAAGAAGAAGAAAAGAAAAGUCAUUUAGGGUAAAAUCAAGAACUUCUAUAUUUCUGAAUGAGGAUUUUCUCUCAAGACAUAAAUAUUCCAGACUCCUAAGACAUUCACCAAAAGAGCACUGAAGUCAUCUUCCUCAUCGUCACUGGUGUACUUCAAAGUCUCUUCAUUGUCACAAUUGUCGCUGGUGUCACUGUCGCUGGCUUCAAACUCAUCUUCAAAUUGUACGUUCUCUGAUGAGAAACCAACUGGUCUCCUGUUUUCAACUGAGUUUUGCUUGUUGAAUGUAAAAUGAGGAUCUUGAAAAACUUCAGGAUGGUCAUCCACCCAAGGAAGGGAGACCUGAUUCUGUAGAUUGAAAAAUGAGCUGAUGAGCUGAGGAAGACACGCAGGAGCCUACCAAGAAUACACUCUUUAACACUCAUCCAAAAAUGACGAUGAAUAAUGCCCACCUUAGCAUUGCAACAAACAAAAGACUGUCAACUUAAUACCACUGACGACAAGCUUGUUUGGGGUCUUUUCUAAGGUAUCACAAAAUUAACUACUUUACACAUAGUUAUAUGGGUUUACUGGUAACACAAAUCACUCACUCACUCAAUGCUGCAAGGUGUAAAUUUUAAAACUACCUUACCACCCCAUUAGACUGCUUUAGCUUAGGCAUAAUGCUUUGCUGAUUUCAGACCAGGUGUCAUUACCUUGUAUAUUAUUUCUUUGUUUGGAUAAUAACACCUUAUUAGAUAAGGUACACUAUUACCAUACUGAUGAUUUUUAGGUGGCCAUGGUUGGAUGCAAAUGAAACUAAGAAUAAUUGUAUUCUCAAAGGAAUGACAAGUGGUCUGAAAUAAAUGGGCAAAACAUGUGCCCACAAGCUAAAGAGGUCAAUAGAAUGCUUUGUGUUUGUUCAGUGAGCUAUUGUAUGGAAGGACUGGUUAGUUAUGGCUUUGUUCAUCAGCUAGUAAUUUAAUUACUGCAUGCCCAACUUUACCUUAUUGGAUGUUGACCUCCUUUGGCCUUAAAGCUAUCUUUUACACUUAGUUUAUCCUGCAUCUGCAAACUUAAUUUCUAUAAAGAAAAGUAUGUGCAGCCAAUUAAUAUAAAUGUUAACAUUAUUACACUUAGUUAAAUGGCGUAUUAUAGAAUUAAUAAGAUAAAUAAAAUCCCUUACCAUCCAUUAAAAAUCACCCUCAUCAUGAUUGACUUACUUUCAUAUUACUUGCAAUGAAAUCAAACUUGACAAUUUCUGACCCACUUGGACGUUUACUCGGAUCCUUUGCUAAUAACCUGCCAUUAAUUGUGUUGUAUUGAUUAAUUUUGUCCCCAAGUGCUCAGUUGUAUAGUAUGUGUUACAGUGAGUUACAACAUGUGCAGAGGUGAAGCAUUCGGGAAGCACCGCUGGCGUGCGCUGCUAAUGUACCGCCUCUCACCAAUGCGGGCCGAGUUCAUGUCCUGCCGAUCUCGAUGUCGUAUUGAAAGCUGAGAAGAUGGUGGUGGAAAAGGAUUAAAGAGGUUUGGUUGGAGUAAGGUCACAUACAUGGCUAGAGGCAGGCCAACAUGGAUAUCAGAGAAUAAUAAAGUUUAAUGGUCUAAAACAAAAUGUUCAAUGAUGUGGAUGCACUUGGUAUGAUGUAAAGCUCUGAGAGAACUGUGUGACAUGAACAGAUUUCAUGUGAUUUGGAAUCUAUCCUGGAUGAGAAGGUGAUGAGGAAGAUGGGAUUCAGGAGUAGUGUGAUCAACAGAUUGGCUCUUCUUCCAUAAGUUAAUAGUCCACUUGGAAUUUAAAAGUGGAUUUUUGCAAAGAAGAAAAACCAACCCCAGAGGCAACCCCUCAAAACACGAAAGAAUCAACAAACAGCUCUACUCACAUUCAGAAUAGUGGCGGAUCCAGGAUUUUUCAAGGGGGGGUUCCGUUUCUUCAACUGUGUAUGAUUCUCUUUUGUUUAGUUGAUGUUUGACAAAAAAAUUGGCUCUAAUCACCUAAUUUACUAUCUAGUAACGGACCAAGUUAUAAUAACAUGACCAAACGCAAAACUACUAAAAUAUUUUUUUAUCAAAAUUUAUAUAAGACAUAUUUCUAUUACCUAAGAGGACAAACCUUCAAGGGGGGUUCCGUGGACCCCUUCGACCCCCCUGGAUCCGCCACUGCAGAACUAAGUUUGGGAAUCAAACCUGGGCUACCUUGGUGAGGUGAGUGUUUUCACUACAACACCACUUGUGCUUGUCUGUCAGACUAAUACAUGAUCUAUUUCCAUCAAGGAUUAUUGGAAAUACUCUACCUUAGCUCUAACAUUUUAAGUAAAUUACUUCCAGCUGAUCUGAGAAAAAAUGUUAGCCAAUGACAAUACUGUAUUGAGAAAAUUUGCAAAACUGAGGUGUCAACUUUCCUCUUUAAAUUAUGGAUUUCCAGGUCACCAAAUGAAAAAAAAAAAACCUAUUGAUAAUAAAGAUUUGAAAAUAGUGACACAAUAAGUAUUAUAAUAUAGCUAGGAUAUAGUACAAGCAUGACUACGGCUCGUGCUUCUCCUUACACUUCUUUCGUGCUUAUGCCACUUCCUGCAUGCUUUAUUACUGAACGGAGCACAGAAAAUGCUGUUUUAUUCGUGAAAUGAGUUUUAUAUUAUUGAUGCAAUGGCUAGUCUCCCACACAGCCGCUUUCAGUGUUGUCACGCAAUGCUUUCUCCCUUGAGAAAGCGUUGCAUGACGACACAGAAAGCGGCUGUGGGGGAGACUAUGCAAUGGCAGGCAUGAUGUUAAUUUUCACAAGCUUUGUGACACCUCAGUUUUAUGCAGUGCCGUCAUUUCUAUGUCACUAUUUCAGAUCAGCUGGUCAUUUGUAAGGUUAAACUAAAAUACAUAUCAGGAAAUAAAGCAACUGCACUUACUUCUGA